rnacentral:rRNA from 1 species
GGGAUUGCCCUAGUAACGGCGAGUGAAGCGGCAACAGCUCAAAUUUGAAAUCUGGCGCAAGCCCGAGUUGUAAUUUGUAGAGGAUGCUUCUGGGUAGCGACCGGUCUAAGUUCCUUGGAACAGGACGUCAUAGAGGGUGAGAAUCCCGUAUGUGACCGGCCCGCACCCUCCACGUAGCUCCUUCGACGAGUCGAGUUGUUUGGGAAUGCAGCUCUAAAUGGGAGGUAAAUUUCUUCUAAAGCUAAAUACCGGCCAGAGACCGAUAGCGCACAAGUAGAGUGAUCGAAAGAUGAAAAGUACUUUGGAAAGAGAGUUAAAAAGCACGUGAAAUUGUUGAAAGGGAAGCGCCUGCAAUCAGACUUCGCGGCAGUGUUCCGCCGGUCUUCUGACCGGUCUAUUCUCUGUCGCGAGGCCAUCAUCGUCUCGGCCCGCUGGAUAAGACCUUGGGAAUGUAGCUCGCCUUCGGGAGAGUGUUAUAGCUCAUGGUGAUGCAGCGAGGCUGGGGCGAGGUCCGCGCUUCGGCAAGGAUGAUGGCGUAAUGGUUGUCGGCGGCCCGUCUUGAAACACGGACCAAGGAGUCUAACAUCUAUGCGAGUGUUCGGGUGUCAAACCCCUACGCGUAAUGAAAGUGAACGGAGGUGGGAACCGCAAGGUGCACCAUCGACCGAUCCUGAUGUCCUCGGAUGGAUUUGAGUAAGAGCAUAGCUGUUGGGACCCGAAAGAUGGUGAACUAUGCCUGAAUAGGGUGAAGCCAGAGGAAACUCUGGUGGAGGCUCGCAGCGGUUCUGACGUGCAAAUCGAUCGUCAAAUUUGGGUAUAGGGGCG